AGAGACAGGAGGGGGAGGGAGGGAGGCGGGGACCAGACGGAGACAGUCAGAGACACAGAGACAGAGAGGACGGGGGAGGGGCCAACCUGACUUUGCCAUUGGGACGCGGGUGAGUAAGGCUUGAGCCCAUCCCGGCCCGACUCUUGGGGGACGGACUGCGUGGGAUCUCUUCCUCUGUGCCAACAGUGAUGGCAGCACCACUUGCCAUUUCUGGGGGGGGGGGGUUCCAAGUGCCUGACCGACAGCGUUGUGACAUUUGAACUCACAACCACCAUGGGAAGAAGAUGCUGUAUGGGUUAUUAUCCCCAUUUUCCAGAUGAGGAAAAUGAGACCGAGCGUAAUUAGGUGUGUCAGGAAGAUAUCCGUUCUAACCCUGGCUGCAGCUCUAAGGGGGGCGUGCUGUGAGGAAAAUGUGUCUCAAGGGCCUGCAUGGCUCGGCUGAGGGAUGUCUCUAGUCUCGAUCAGGAGAAUGGGGGGGGGGUGUCUCUGAGGGGGAGGGAACAUCCUGCUGGGGUGUUGGGGGCUGGGAUAGGGAUUAGGACUUAGUAACCGCCAAAAGAGCACAGAUUUGUUAAACUCAGGAUCACCUUUUAAGGAUGAUGCUAUAUCAGACAUCCUGAUUGGUGCUGUAAAAACCAAAAAGGCUAUAAAUACAAUGUACUUCCUGGAGCACGCUCUCUUUGACCUGAUGUAGCUGUGUAAGAAUAAACUCCGUUUGACCUCUGGCAACUCGGCUCAGUGUUUAGUUCUUCCUCGGAAGCCGGUGACGACCGAAGACCCAGAAAAUGGCAGCCUGUGAGAAAAAGGGAGAGAAAGGAAGAAAAAAAAGGAAAAGAUCUGUUCGAUGGUGAAACGCCCGAUUCUCGCGAGAACGUAAAUAAACUUUGCUUUGCUUCUAGAGAUCUAUCCAGUUGUUUUAUUAAUGGUUUCUGACCCACACAGUUUUGGGGGCUCGUUCCGGGAUUACACUACUUGCGGUGAGUAGGUGAACCCUUGGGGUGCUGGUGGGGUGGCGCCCUGCCCUGAUUUAGGCAGCCCACCAGCGUCCAGGGCUUCUCCUUACUCCCCAAGGAAGGUGGGCCCGAAGUGGAGAAACUCAGAGCAAAGCAAAGGGAGAAACUCCGCGGUAAAAAUCCCGACCGGUCGGUGGAGGACAAAUAUCAGUCAAGCAAUUUGCUGCGCAGCAACCCAGAAAAGGUAAGCCCCCUGUGAGGCCCUGAGUCUUAAACUCGGAGGGGUCUCUGGACAGGAGCCUGUGAGGCCUGGAGUCUUAAACUCUGGGUCUCUGGUCAGGUAGGCUUGGCUAGGCCUUCUAGGGUGACUGGAGUCAAUUGGCGACAAUUGGCGUAUUUGGGUGUUUUUGGAAUUUAGAUUCCGUCCAAAUUCAAUGGGUGUGGCCCAGUCCCAGCCAGCCCUCGUGGAGAGAAAUGAGAAAAAUGAUCAGAGAAUACCGGUAGAUAGUCCCUUGGGAAACAAAUUAAGUAAUUGGAACAAACUGCCAAAAUAUAAAGGAAAAAGCAAGAAAAAGAUGAUAAGGUAUUGCUGCUUUGUCUGGGGUGACAAAGACAUUGGUGGAGGCACUAUUUGGCCUAAAUUUGGCUCCCUUGAAGAUUGGGUGUGCCAAAUACUGAAUUUGUGUGUUAAUAACAAAGAACCUGUUAAUCCAGAGGAGGUUCUAUAUGCAGGACUAUGGCUUUCCGGGGCUUCUAUAAUGCUGAGUAAGAGUCCAAAUGUAAAGGACAAGACGGAGGAAACUUUAAAGACCCAGCAAUGGGACCCAUUGUUAGCUCUCAGUCCUCCAUACUUAUCCCCACCCCCAGAAGAAGCCAUGGUUUUAGGAAAGGGGAGGUGAGGACUUAAUCCCAUCAGCUCCUCCUGGGCCCCUCAGGGCACGGGAGGAUUUAAUUCGAUUGACCCCACCUGGACUCCGAAAAGAGUCAUUCUCUUUAAGGAAGGAAUUAGAUCAAAUUCAAAGAGAUACCUGAAAUUAUCCUUUGCCGGGAACUAAAACCCCAAGUCCUAAAUUAUAUCCCUUAAGAGAGGUUCCUUCAGCCCAAGGAGGUAUAGGAUUUGUGAAUGCUCCCCUGAGCACCGCAGAAGUCAGGGCCUUUAAGAAGGAAAUGAAGUCCUUGAUAGAAGACCCCACUGGGCUAGCAGAACAGUUUGAUCAAUUCCUGGGCCCUAAUCUUUUUACUUGGGGAGAAUUUAUGUCAAUUUUGAAUGUUCUCUCCUCACUAGAGGAGAGGGGACUAAUUAGAGGUGCAGCUAUGAAGGAGUGGAUCAGGAGAAACCCUCCAGCUGCAGGAGUAGUUUGAGCUAACCAGAAAUACGGUUAACAGAUCCCAAUUGGGAUCAUAAUCACCCUAUACAUCGGGGAAGUAUGUGGGAUUGAGAGAGUGUGGCUUCUUUCCUUUCCCAUGGAUCCUGACUACAGCAGGGCCACAUGGGACCAAGGGAAAGAAACUGCUAUUUGGUGAAAAAUAUAGGUUAUUAAAACAAAAUGCUGGUAGUUUACCUUAGGGGAGGUUGGGGUUGUAUCUCCCUACUUAGAUGGUGUGUGUUCUAGAGGUAUUGGGUAAUUUGUAACUGAGUUAUGCCCUAAAAUUUGUCAUCUCUGUUGGGCAAUUAUAAGUUUUAUGAAAUUUGGUUCAGUUAUUUGAGAAUCUUGGAAGUUUUAAGUUUUAAAGACAAGAGACAAGAAAGAUUGAUUUGCAAAAGCAAUCAAUAAUUUAAAUGGAGCAUCUAGUAUUGGUUUGGGAAUGUUUAACUUAUGUCAGAGAAGGUUUAAGCAAAUAAGCUUUGGAAGGAGAGAGAUGGGACAGGAAAAGAUAGUGGGAGAGAAAAAGAGAGGAAAAUAGCUCUCCAAAAAUGGGGGGAAAAAAAAAAAAAAAAAAAAAAAAAAAAAAAAAAAAAAAAAAGGCAAAUUCCCUCGUGAAUCUGCCAUUUGCCAUGGGAGAAGGAGAUAUAGCCCAUGAGGUUGGGGCCUAUCUUGAGCUGGCAGAUUGGAUCCUGGGGAAAUGGUACCCUAAAAAAGGUUAAUUGAGAUAAGUUAGGGUUGGGAAGCAUGGUGGAGUGGGGGAAGAGUGGCCACAUGGAGAAGGGACCCUGUCAGGUGAUCUAAUCCCCCUUCUCCAUUAAGUAUGGUGGCUACAACACCUUGCUGGUUCGGCUAUCAAUUGCUUCUACUGUUUAAAGGAACAGCCUACAUUUUUAUGGUGUUAAUAACUGAAUGUUUUAUUUUUUUCUUCAAGUCUGCUCUAAAAAGUUUGUUGGAACUGUAAGUUAUCUGAAAGUGAUUUAUUUCUACUAAGAUUCCAUCUGUUUUAAGCAAAUUAUUUAAUGCUUAUUUACGUGCAUGGUAGUCUCCUUGUUUAGUUAGAGCAGGAUUUUAAUUUGAUCUGAUAAUUUGAUAGUGUUAUUUCCAAAAAUUCUUUGAGAAGAGAGUAUUGUUAUCUGGAAGAUUUAAAAGUUUCUUUUAUGUGGAAACAACAUGCGCGAUUUAAAAUUGUUUUUCUUUGUAUUCGAGUAUUUUAAAGGCAAAUGAUCUGAACUAUCUACUUAGAUAAGAAAGAUAACUGUAUAAGAUGUAAACCCUUUAUUGUGAUUCUUGAGAACUAGAUUCAUCUGAAGCCCUUGAUUAUUAAUUGCUGUAGAAGAUAAAAUCCUUUGGCACUGCAGCUAAUAUUUGCUGGGAGUUUUGAAUUCAGGUGUGACUGCAUAGGUCAAAAGGUGGAAUGGUUAAAACUUAAGGACAGUUACCUGACGUAAAACUGCAUUAAAUAGAUAUUUCAAUUCGCGGCCAGAGCUUGGUUGCUGCUAUUAAUCUUUUAACCUUUUUACUUCCUGGGGCUAGAGUUUCUUUAUCUAAAGGUUUACUUCACCCAAGUACUUGGGGCCACUCCCACCCUGCCUUUUGAGAAAGCUGGGAAUCUCAUUGUCCUGAUUAGGCUAAAGUUUAGGCCUAGAGCCUUUUACAUUGUGUGUUGAUGGAGGGCAGGGCUAUCUCUGGAACCCUUGUCCUAGGCCCCUGAUUUACUUAUCAAAGAUUUAUAUUGUUAGAUGCGUUUUUCAUGUUUUGCAUGAUCAUGGGGAGGCUAUAGAGUAAGUCUCCCACAUCAAGUAAAAACUCUUAUUAAAUCAGAGGGUUGAGAAAUAGCUCACAGAUUUUAGAAUGUUGAUAAUCUUAAUCCUGCCUCCUGUCCCCAGGAACAGAACCACCCCUGCAGAGGAAUAUUGUUGUUUAGUGUUAAAUCGAUUUUCAAAUGAAAGUAAGAGGAUUCACAAGACUCCCCAAUGCCUGGGGGAGUAAAUUGGUUUGUAGAUGGAUCUUCUAGAGAGUAGAUGGGAAAAGGAAAAUGGGUUUGCUAUUGUGGAUGGAGAUAGGACUUCCACUGUUACCAGAGGCAGUCUGCCUGCCUGCCUAUUGGCCGGCUCAAACUUAUGAAUUGUUUGCCUUAAAUCAAGCCUUGAAGUUAUUGAGGGACCAAGAUGGGGAUAUAUAUACUGAUUCGAAAUAUGCAAUUUGGGAUAUUUUUCUAUGUAUUGGGUAUUUUUAAGGCCAAAUGAUUUGUAUGUAUAAUGUUCACUCAUGUAACAUCUACCCAGAUAUGAUAAUUGUUCUAAGUUGUGAACUUACUGAGACAAAAUUUCUUUCUGUUAUUACUACAAGGUUAUGAUAAAUAAUUGUUUAAGAGUUAUCAGAAAUUUGAUUAAUGACAUCUGUUAUUGGAGGUAAAAGUUUUGGCUUAGAGUUAAUUAGCUGUUUGGGAGUUUUAAAGCUCCACUCUGUGACAAUUACUGGGACAAUUGAUAAGCAGUUAAAAUUCGAUUAUGUUCUUGCAUUUUUCCUUUUGUAACUGAUCUCUCUGAUCAGAGCAAUGGUCAAUAGAACUGUUAAUGUAAUUCAAUUAUGUCAUACCUUGCUAUUUUCAGUCUGGUCAUAUGUAAUCAUUGUAUCCUAAAUGCUUGGGCAAAUGAGUAUUUCGCCGGGUCAUCUGUCUGUUACUGGAUAUUUGCGUUUUAUUUCUUUAAGGUUUCUACAUGAUAAGAGGACAAUUAACAGGGGUCUGUGAGACCUCACUGAUGUUGCAACUUGGGACUGCACCCGUUUGCUUGGCUUGUAAAGCAAACUCAUUUCUUCACAUAGGGAACAAUUUAUUUUGGCCUCAUGUUUUGCAGCAACCUGAUGAACUGAGUCUUUCUAUCUGAGACGGAUCUAAUCUUUGUGCUAGGUUUGUGUUUUUGCUCUAGAUUUUGGUCAAAUUACAGCUAUUGACUUGCUUCUGGAACCGGGAUCAGCUUUGAUCAGCUUUGAUUGUCAGCAUGAUGCACCCACUCUGCAAGGAAUGAGAGCCUCCUAUCACUUUACAGCCUGAAGCAGCAGUUUGUACAUGAGACCAUGGACUGGACUCUGCAUCGAGUGUACUUUGGACUGAUAUAAGGGACUUUGGGAAUGGUUGAUGACUGUUAAACCUUGCCUGGAUCAUCUAUUACUGUGUGCUUAAGAUUUGGGAUGGGAUUUGUUAACACUGUGUAACUGUUGCUGUUAUGUUUGAGGGCUUGUUAGGAAAUGCUACUGUAUUAGUCUGUUAUGUAUAGGGAUUUUGAUUUGCUCUUAGAAUUUAUAUGGGGAAUGGUCAUUUGAUAAUUCCUUUCCGUGAAAAAAAAAAAAAAAAAAAAAAAAAAAAAAAGGGGGGGGAGGUAGAGAUAGAACAUUGGGGAACCUGGUAUAUAUUUUUUCAAAAUACCUGAAAGAAUGGGAACGCCUAGCUCCUAUUCACUUUGCAUGCUCCUCUGGGCUGACCACUUUUAUCCGUUCCACCUCCCUUAUAAGCAAACGAGACUACUGUGUGCUCGUGUCGCUUUUUCCUCACCUCACGGUACACCCAGCCGACGAGCUUUUAAACUUUUGGGACUCAAGGGCUGACAUUAAGAUCAGGACAAAGAGAGAGCCCUUGACAGCAAUCACACUAGCUGUAGUCAUUGGCCUUGGACUAACAGGUACGGGAACAGGGAUUGCCUCUCUAGUUACAACCAACCACCAAUAUGCGCAGCUGAGUGCAGUUAUUGAUAAAGACCUUCAGGAACUUCAAGCUGGCCUUGAGAAUCUAAAAGAUUCUGUGGCCUUUUUAGCAGAAGUAGUACUGCAGAACAGAAGAGGUUUAGAUCUGUUGUUUUUACAGCAAGGUGGCCUUUGUGCUGCGCUGAAAGAAGAGUGUUGUUUCUUUGUUAAUAAGCUUGGCCUGGUGGAAAACAGCAUUCAAAAGGUCAGGGACAGUUUGGGAAAAUGCAAGAGAGAGAGAGAGCAACAAGAAUCCUGGUACCAAAACUGGUUUUCUGCUUCCCCCUGGCUGACAACAUUGCUUCCUAGUCUCCUAGGCCCACUCAUUGGUUUUUUACUUUUGGUUUCCUUUGGACCAUGGUUGUUCAACAAACUAACCAACUUUGUUAAGUCUCAGGUUGACUCCGCGAUACAGAAAAAUGUUCAGGUUGUUUAUCUGCACACCACACAACCUGAGCCCCUUUGUUUUACUGAAGCUGAUCUUAACACUCCAUGGUAUCGGAAACUUUGCCUUACAUAAGUUAACUAUCCCCCGGCGCCUGUUUGUCUCUGCAUAAUUACCUCCCUUUGAUCAUGCAUAACGGAAAGGCUAUGACCCUCAGGUCUGGCUGACGGAGCUUGAGCCACAACCAUAAGACCACCAUCGCACCAUGACGGGCAACUUCAGGGCAUUCCCACCCACCUGAGACAGGGCCCUGGAGUGGCAGGGACCCACGGGUCAGGCGUGGCCUGCCCUGACGACCUAAGACAGCGCUCCGUGGCCGGAAUCCUCAAGCUCACGCAGAAGGGAUCCAGGGCAUAAGCCAUUUGUACAAGAAACGCUUGCUGUAAAAGCAAAGCAUGCAUGAUGGUAUAAUUGGAGGCUGAGACAGGGGAAAGUAUUAUGUUUACAAAAGGCUUCACUUCCAAAACCAAGGCAUCUGCGCUUUCAGCACUGGCUUAAACAAAAAAGGGGGAAUUGUUGGGGGCUGGGAUAGGGAUUAGGACUUAGUAACCGCCAAAAGAGCACAGAUUUGUUAAACUCAGGAUCACCUUUUAAGGAUGAUGCUAUAUCAGACAUCCUGAUUGGUGCUGUAAAAACCAAAAAGGCUAUAAAUACAAUGUACUUCCUGGAGCACGCUCUCUUUGACCUGAUGUAGCUGUGUAAGAAUAAACUCCGUUUGACCUCUGGCAA